rnacentral:tRNA from 1 species
AGGGGAAUUGUGUAAUGGCAGCACGAAUGAUUCUGGUUCAUUUAGUCGGGGUUCGAGUCCCUGUUCCCCUG